ACAGAGAUGAUAGUGGUCUUCUUGAAGCAGGUGGGGACUUCAGCUCGUAGCAAGGAGAGGUUAAAGAUGUCAGCGAAUACUCCCACCAGCUGGCCUGCAACGGAUCCGACCACAUGGCCAGGGCCUCCAUCUAGGCCAGUCGCUUUCCACGGGUUCACUCUUAAGAAGGUUGAUCUGACGUCUGCAGCAGUGACUGAGGAAACAGGCGCAACAGAUACUGUUGGGGUAGAUGAACUGUUUUCCUGACUUUCUGUGAGCUUAAUAAGCAGUGUGGACAUCGGGGAGGGAUGUAUUUUUGUCCAUGAUUCUGUUCUGCUUCAUUUUGUAGCCCAUUAUGUUGCGUAGGCCUUGUCACAGACUGCAGGUGUCCAUGUGGUUCGUUUGGGUCUCUAACUUAGUCCGGUGUUGCCUCUUAGCAUCUCUUAAGAGGGAGAUCAGGAAGACAAAAACAGUGUAUGAGACAGCCUUGGCAAAUAAGGAUAAUCUAAAGAGAUUCUAUAAGUACUUUAACAGCCAAAGAGAGUAGGACCCCUUAAAGAUCAAAAAGGUCACUUUGUGUUAAACCCUCAGGAGAUGCAAGAGAUAUUAAAUAAAUAUUUCACCUAAGUUUUUACGGUGGGGAAAGAAAUGGAGGCUAGAGAACUCAGGGAAAUUAAUACUAAUGUUCUGAAAACAGUUCAUAUUACAGAAGAGAGUGUUGGAGGUCGUAGAAAACAUAAGGGUGUAAACGUAAAUCUCCGGGACCUGAUCUAAUAUAUAGAGAUAGUAGAAACUGCCACUGCUGGAGAAUCUGAGAUAACAAGGUGUACAGCUGGAUGAACACAGCAGGCCAAGUAGCAUCAGAGAUAAUCUAAUAUAUCCCAGGAUGCUGUGGGAAGUUAGGAAGGAAAUUGCAGGGCCUCUUGCUGCAAUAUCUAUAUUAUCUAUAAAAACAGGUGACGUGCCAAAUAACUCGAGUGGCUAAUGUUGUGCCUUUGUAUAAGAAGGGAAGCAAGGAGAAGACUGGGAAUUAACUUCAGUGGUGGGCUGGAUCGCUGUUACCUGCUGACCACGUUCAGAACCUUGUGCAAAUGAGAACCGUUUACACCAGACCUAUAGCAGCUAUAUAGAACCACUCAAAUCCUAAAAAAAGGUUGGCAAUGAGAAAAGAUGGCGACCUACAAUAUCACAAGCCACAUGCAGCCAGCCAUCCACAAUGAUAAGGAGUUCAACAAGCAGCUGGAAAUGGUCAUCACUGAUCAGAGUGAAAUGUUACCCAAUAUUCAGAAUGCACUGCUACUGAAGAAAACCAAAAGCUAGUAAAAUAGUCAAGAAUGAAUCUUUUUAACCCACCUUCCUUGGGACGUUGGGUUAGUAUUUUGUAUUCAAAAUUACAACUAUGCCAUAAAGAACAUAUGAAGCUGUUGCCAGAUGGGAGUCUCUCCUCAAUGAGCAAAUAUUUUAAUAAAAUAAAGCAUAAAACAAAA